rnacentral:rRNA from 1 species
AGAUUGAACGCUGGCGGCAUGCCUUACACAUGCAAGUCGAACGGCAGCACGGGAGCAAUCCUGGUGGCGAGUGGCGAACGGGUGAGUAAUAUAUCGGAACGUGCCCAGUCGUGGGGGAUAACGCAGCGAAAGCUGUGCUAAUACCGCAUACGAUCUCUGGAUGAAAGCGGGGGACUCGCAAGGGCCUCGCGCGAUUGGAGCGGCCGAUAUCAGAUUAGCUAGUUGGUGGGUAAAGGCCCACCAAGGCGACGAUCUGUAGCUGGUCUGAGAGGACGACCAGCCACACUGGAACUGAGACACGGUCCAGACUCCUACGGGAGGCAGCAGUGGGGAAUUUUGGACAAUGGGCGCAAGCCUGAUCCAGCAAUGCCGCGUGCAGGAUGAAGGCCUUGGUUGUAAACUGCUUUUGACGGUACGAAACGUCCUUCUAGUACAAGGGCUAAGUGACGGUACCGUAAGAAUAAGCACCGGCUAACUACGU